UACGUAGGGGGCAAGCGUUGUCCGGAAUCAUUGGGCGUAAAGCGCGUGUAGGCGGUUCGAUAAGUCUGCUGUGAAAGUCCAGGGCUCAACCCUGGGAUGCCGGUGGAUACUGUCGAGCUAGAGUACGGAAGAGGCGAGUGGAAUUCCCGGUGUAGCGGUGAAAUGCGUAGAUAUCAGGAGGAAUACCGGUGGCGAAAGCGACUCUCUGGACGGCAACUGACGCUGAGGCACGAAAGCGUGGGGAGCAAACAGG
rnacentral:rRNA from 1 species